CCGAUUUGUUCAUCUCGUCUACCAUUUUACGCAACGACGAGGAGGGUGGCCAGGGAACCGCGUUUCUGUUUAGCUUGGAAGCAGUGGCUCGGAUCUCUUCGUCGUGACGGACGUCAGGGAUACUGCGAUGGCUGAAAAGCUGACCUAUCGCUCGGGCCGGCGGCCUUUUAACCCUUCUUACAUCUCGAUACGUGUACCGGAUAGUUUGUACGGCGGGAAUAGCGAAGAGUGAUCGAUCGAGAUGCCGGAAAAAUUCGUUUAAAUUUGUUUAAUCUCGGAGGGGGAUGGGGGGAGGGUUGGGGGUUGGGGACGCGAUAUCGAAACAUUUCGAUCUUCUUCGCGACUUUGGCGAUCGUGGACAGUCGACCUCGGAGUGCGAUCUUCAAUUCUGGAUUUUGUUAUGGAGACUUGGAGUGUAUUUUCCUGAAGGUACGUUUAGGUGACAAGUCAAUUCGAAUAUUAUAAUCCGAAUAUAAAGAUUACGAGCGCUAAUAAAUAUUCAUCGUGAAAUUUUCCUGCUUGUCAACGUCAUACAACAAAAAUUCCUAUUUUAUGUCACUUUAAAAUAAUAUGCAAUUUAUUCCCGAAGAGGUCGGAAUCAUAAAAAAGUGAUACAUUAAUGCAGUUAUUAGCGUCGUGCUGCAUCCAGAAUUGCAAGAUAACGCUGAGAAAUGUCACCAUCGAUAAACUAAAGCACUGAGCGACAUAAAAAGAGUACUACCUGAUCGAGAAGAUUUAAAAAAAAAAAAAAAAACGAACAAGACAUCUAUACCGUAUAAGCACCGAUUAAGAUCGAUGAGGGUUUUACUUAGAAAUCAGAAUUCAUCUGAAAUCAAUGAUUACACUCUUCCAAAAUUCGAUACAAACCCAACGACCCAUGUGUACCGAAAAGUAAUGUCGAUGCAAUAGACUGUACCAGCUUCCGUUUGAGAUCUACGAACGUAAAUCGCGAUCGCAAUCGGCGAAAGGAACAUCUAGAACAGCAGAACCCCGUCCAAUAGGAAUAGGUGUGUAAAGAGGAAGAGGAAGAGGAAAAAGCCUUUCACGAAUACCGCGUUACUCGUUUGUUUCGCGACGUCGCGUUUUCUAUUACGUUCAAGGAUUACGUUUCACGUUUCCUCUCGUUCAGGCGUAAUAGAAGGGAAUUGCAUCGUGAAAGCGCUCGCAUAACAUUCGUAAUGAACAGCGUAUCAGUAUCGGUGCGUAAGAGAGGGAUGCUAAGUCAUCGCGCCAUGGAUUACGCUCGAGGAAAGUGGAGUAGUAGUGUCGUUUCCCCAUUCGUGGUUCUUGACCAUUGAUCUGAUCGCGAUAUACAUUUAGAUCAACGACGAAACGACACAAAUACCAGUUAAGUUAGUUUGUCAAUAGGGUGCUUUGACUCGCGUCACUUUGCAAAGUGGUUCGCCGCUCGCUUGUACAAACACUGUAUCUUUGUAUAAAAGUUCUGGAUUCUGCACGAAGAACAAGGGUGGCCCUUAUUUUACAAUUUUCGAAACAUUAGAUUCAUAGAUUUUUAGAUUCUUCUCUUUUAGUUUUGGCUCAAAAUAAUCUUUUACUUAAACUGAAGAAUAUAGUUUUCCCGAUACUACUUCAAGUGAUCGAUUUAGAACGAUUAAAAUCAGAACGAUCUAUCGAAAAAGCUGUUGAAAUUGGUAUCCAGUUGACAAGAAAUAUCAUGUAUGUAUUGCUUCCCAAUAAAACGAAAGAAACUUUUCGGACAACCUAA